AGAGUUUGAUCCUGGCUCAGGACGAACGCUGGCGGCGCGCCUAACACAUGCAAGUCGAACGGAGCUUAGAGAGCUUGCUUUUUAAGCUUAGUGGCGAACGGGUGAGUAACGCGUGAGUAACCUGCCCUAGAGUGGGGGACAACAGUUGGAAACGACUGCUAAUACCGCAUAAGCCCACGGUGCCGCAUGACACUGAGGGAAAAGGAUUUAUUCGCUUUAGGAUGGACUCGCGUCCAAUUAGCUAGUUGGUGAGGUAACGGCCCACCAAGGCGACGAUUGGUAGCCGGACUGAGAGGUUGAACGGCCACAUUGGGACUGAGACACGGCCCAGACUCCUACGGGAGGCAGCAGUGGGGGAUAUUGCACAAUGGGGGAAACCCUGAUGCAGCGACGCCGCGUGGAGGAAGAAGGUCUUCGGAUUGUAAACUCCUGUUGUUGAGGAAGAUAAUGACGGUACUCAACAAGGAAGUGACGGCUAACUACGUGCCAGCAGCCGCGGUAAAACGUAGGUCACAAGCGUUGUCCGGAAUUACUGGGUGUAAAGGGAGCGCAGGCGGGAAGACAAGUUGGAAGUGAAAUCUAUGGGCUCAACCCAUAAACUGCUUUCAAAACUGUUUUUCUUGAGUAGUGCAGAGGUAGGCGGAAUUCCCGGUGUAGCGGUGGAAUGCGUAGAUAUCGGGAGGAACACCAGUGGCGAAGGCGGCCUACUGGGCACCAACUGACGCUGAGGCUCGAAAGUGUGGGUAGCAAACAGGAUUAGAUACCCUGGUAGUCCACACCGUAAACGAUGAUUACUAGGUGUUGGGAGAUUGACCCUCUCAGUGCCGCAGUUAACACAAUAAGUAAUCCACCUGGGGAGUACGACCGCAAGGUUGAAACUCAAAGGAAUUGACGGGGGCCCGCACAAGCAGUGGAGUAUGUGGUUUAAUUCGA
rnacentral:rRNA from 1 species